GCAGAUCCCGAAUCUCCAGCGGUACCCUGUUGGACAAGAUGAUAACACAUUUAAGAACAAAGAAGAUUAAAGACGCAGAAGUCAAGGCUAUGAAUUCCUUACGGGAGGUCCAGGAAGACCCUGCAAACCGGUGAAUCCUCUGUGACCCUUCUGUCCUCUCUCACCAGUCUCACCACUCUCUCCCUUAUCUCCACGUGGUCCUUGGGGACCCUGGGAUGUUACUCACAGCCAUUCCUCGUGCGCCAGCAAGUCCAGGUGGUCCUGAAGGUCCUUGUGCACCCUGAAGAUAAAAUAGUUAUUUUCUUACAAGGUCCAACAGGUCCAGGGGCACCGGGACCACCAGGAGCACCAGGGGCACCAGCAGGACCAGAGUUUCCUCGUUCUCCCUAUAGAAGAUCACCAAGUGCCGAUUUAUUGGCUGCCAACAGAUCCGUCCCUACCAGGUGGUCCAUCUGAUCCAGGGGUACCCUGAAACACAGAAAUACAAUUAAUUCACACCUCUCUUCCAGUCUCUCCAGAAGGUCCAGUAAGUCCAGGGGGUCCUACAGGUCCAGGAGGUCCACGGUCACCAGAAGAGCCAGGUCCUCCUUGUUUACCAGGCUCACCCUAAAAACAAGAAAAGGUCCAGGAAGGCCAGGGAAGCCUCUCUCACCACGCUGUCCAGGCAAACCAACAAUACCACGAGACCCAGCCAGACCCUGAGGACCUGAAGGUCCGUCAGCACCCUACGGAGACAGAAAGGAUAGGAUCUCGCCCCGCUUUCUUCAUAGCAAUUGGAAACGUAAUUCAGUCUGUGAGGAGAACUCACAGGGGGUCCAUCUUCUCCGGGCUCUCCCUUCUCUCCUUGUCCGCCAGCGGGUCCUCGAAGACCAGCAUCUCCAUGUCUUCCUGGGGGUCCAGCGUCACCACGGGCACCCUUUGGUCCGUCUUUUCCAGAAGGGCCAGCAGGUCCAACAGCACCAGGGUUGCCCUGUGA